rnacentral:lncRNA from 7 species
AUCUCUUGGAACUUGGCUGCUUCUUGAGGGGGAGCACUGUAUAGCUAGAGAGCCUUUUCACCAACUGUGUGUGCUUAACUUUUCUUUCCAUAUAUUGCUAUUGGACUAUCUGCAAAUACUUUGCCUGGUAUUGCCAAGGGCAUGUUGGAAGAAAUUUUGCUUCGUCAUGAGCAGGGCAUUUUAGAUGCAUAACAUAAAGCACAUUGAUUUCUUACAGUCAAACCGACAGGUAUACAAGCACCUAGAAUUUAGAAUGCUGAAGUGUUCUCAGUGCACUGUCUGCAGAUGAAGAAGCAGCGUGUGCAUGUAGAGUUGCUCGUACCCAAAGGACAAGAACAGUCAGCUGUGAUGUGACUGGACUGAAUGAAGAAUGAGCAAAUGUAUGAAACUUUCUCUACAUGAAAAGAAUGUGGAAUUCUGUGUUUCUUUUGGAUGAAGAGGGGAGAGAACUCAUAAAGAAAGUGUGUGAAUUUUCCUGGGUAAUUUUUGUCUGUGUUUGUUGUUUUUUUUAAUCUUCAACAAACAGAAAAUCAAAAUCACUUUUCCUCAUUUUGGUUUUCAACUUCAUUCUUUCUGCUUAUUCAACAGUGUAGCAAAGGCAGUCAGAGACAGAAAAAGAUUUAAAUACCUGAAUAUUCAAACAUUUGAGGUUUUUUUUUUUUUUCCCAACAACUUUGAAUAUUAGGUUGGAAAUGUAUUAAACUUUUUAACCCAGGGGUCCAAAAACCCUACCUUUCAGAAGUUUAAAAAAAUCUGUUUGUUUUUUUUUUUCCCCACUAGAAAUAGAUAAUCAUUCAAUACAUUUAGGUGAAAGUGAUUUUUGUAAUACUUUAAGUGAAUAACUGAAGCAGAGGGAAAAAAAAUGUAUAGUAAAUUCUGUUGAAGCGUUCAAGUGGAAGGGAACACUAAUUCCAGAUAAGUUUAUAGGUAAUAUUAAAGAAAAUAGGCACUUCUGGCAAAGUGUUCAUCUUAGCCUAAAGUAGACUUUCAAAAUAAUUGCUUUUAGGGUGCAAUGUAGCUAAUCUAUUUUCUCAGUUGAUGGUAGGCAGGCAUGAAGUGACUUAGACAAAUGCAUGUUGUAGCUCUCUGAAAGUGAGAAUCCCACCCAAAGGGACUAAUGCAAAUCCUAUUACAGAAUGAAAUUUAUCAGCAAAUUUUAUCUUGGAAGUCAGCAUGGACUCUGUGAUUUAAAAAACAAACAAAGAAAAAAACAAAAUCACUACAAAUUCUUCACUGUGUUUUAAAACUAUCAGUUUAUAAAAACAUUACUUCCUGAAUGUGAGAGGAAAAGCUCGUGUCUUCUCUCAUAUUUCUGUUCAAUCACUACAGUUCACAUUGUCUGGAUUCCUCCUUAAUCUAGUCACAAACACAAUCCAAGAAAUGGAUAAGCUAAGGUAUUUAGUGACUUGGGGGCAGGUUCACUUUUAUAUAGUUAUCCUUACGAGAACAGUGAAAACCAGAGAACUGAAGAGUAUCUAGUAUGUUGCUUACAGAUCCAGGGGUUUUGUUUGCUUUGUAGACUUCUAACUGUGAAUAUUAUAAGCUUUAUAAUACAAAGACUAUUUAUACAAUCUACAUUUCUACAGAGAUUAUCAUAGUCCUAAUUUUUAUCUGUACAUAAAUAUGAAACUGGAAUAAUAAACACUAUU